CUGGCGGCGUGCCUAAAACAUGCAAGUCGAGCGGUAAGGCUUUGCACUUAGUGUUUGAUCGAGAUAAUUUAUUAUCACAGUUAACCAAUCGGAACCUUGGCGGGGGAAGUGCGGAAGAGGAAGAUCGAAUUAUAAGUGUAGAGUACACGAGCGGCGACGGGUGAGUAACACGUCGGGGAAAUCUACCCCAAAACUGAGGGAUAAGCACCGGAAACGGUGUCUAAUACCGCAUAUGGUCUUCGGAUUAAAGCUUCGGCGUUUGGGAAGAGCCCGCGCAAGAUUAGCUAGUUGGUGAGGUAAAAGGCUCACCAAGGCGACGAUCUUUAGCUGGUUUGAGAGGAUGAUCAGCCACACUGGAACUGAGACACGGUCCAGACUCCUACGGGAGGCAGCAGUUAGGAAUUUUCCACAAUGGCGCAAGCCUGAUGGAGCAACGCCGCGUGCAGGAUGAAGGUUUUCGGAUUGUAAACUGCUUUUAUAAGUGAAGAAUAUGACGGUAACUUAUGAAUAAGGAUCGGCUAACUCCGUG
rnacentral:rRNA from 1 species